rnacentral:rRNA from 1 species
GAGGAAAGAGGGCGGAGUGAAUAAUACAUGCGAGUCGAGCGAACAGAUAAGGAGCUUGCUCCUUUGACGUUAGCGGCGGACGGGUGAGUAACACGUGGGUAACCUACCUAUAAGACUGGGAUAACUUCGGGAAACCGGAGCUAAUACCGGAUAAUAUUUCGAACCGCAUGGUUCGAUAGUGAAAGAUGGUUUUGCUAUCACUUAUAGAUGGACCCGCGCCGUAUUAGCUAGUUGGUAAGGUAACGGCUUCCCAAGGCGACGAUACGUAGCCGACCUGAGAGGGUGAUCGGCCACACUGGAACUGAGACACGGUCCAGACUCCUACGGGAGGCAGCAGUAGGGAAUCUUCCGCAAUGGGCGAAAGCCUGACGGAGCAACGCCGCGUGAGUGAUGAAGGUCUUCGGAUCGUAAAACUCUGUUAUUAGGGAAGAACAUACGUGUAAGUAACUGUGCACGUCUUGACGGUACCUAAUCAGAAAGCCCCGGCUAUCUACGUC